rnacentral:tRNA from 1 species
GUGCCCGUGGUGUAGUGGUUAGCACAGGGGUCUGUGGAACCCCUAGGGGCAGUUCGAAUCUGCUCGGGCACC